rnacentral:rRNA from 1 species
CCCUUAGAUGUUCUGGGCCGCACGCGUGCUACACUGAUGCAUUCAACGAGUCUAAAACCUGGUCUGAUAGGGCUGGGUAAUCUUUUGAAAGUGCAUCGUGAUUGGGAUAGAUGAUUGCAAUUCUUCAUCUUCAACGAGGAAUGCCUAGUAAACGCAAGUCAUCAGCUCGUGCUGAUUACGUCCCUGCCCUUUGUACACACCGCCCGUCGCUGCAACUGAUUGGGUGACCUGGUGAACAUCUUGGACCGGUCCACUCAAUUUCGAGAGGACUGGAAAAGGCCGUAAAUCAGGUACAUCUAGAAAUUGCAAAAGUCGUAACA